rnacentral:rRNA from 1 species
GUCGAGAAUUUUUCUCAAUGGGGGAAACCCUGAAGGAGCGACGCCGCGUGGGGGAUGAAGGGCUUCGGCCUGUAAACCCCUGUCAUUUGCGAACAAACCCUGUGUGUUAAGAGCAUGCAGGCUGAUUGUAGCGAAAGAGGAAGGGACGGCUAACUCUGUGCCAGCAGCCGCGGUAAUACAGAGGUCCCGAGCGUUGUUCGGAUUCACUGGGCGUAAAGGGUGCGUAGGCGGUGAUGUAAGUUUGAUGUGAAAGCUCGCAGCUCAACUGCGAAAUGGCAUUGAAUACUACAUUGCUAGAGGCUUGGAGGGGGGACUGGAAUUCUCGGUGUAGCAGUGAAAUGCGUAGAUAUCGAGAGGAACACCAGUGGCGAAGGCGAGUCCCUGGACAAGUCCUGACGCUGAGGCACGAAAGCUAGGGGAGCAAACAGGAUUAGAUACCCUAGUAGUCC